rnacentral:rRNA from 1 species
CAAUAGCGUAUAUUAAAGUUGUUGCAGUUAAAAAGCUCGUAGUUGGAUUUCGGGGCAGCCUGGCUGGUCCGCCGCAAGGCGAGUACUGGUCAGCCGCCCUUCCUCUCGAAAGCCCCGACUGCUCUUCGUUGCAGUGGUCGGGUAGUUCGGGACGUUUACUUUGAAAAAAUUAGAGUGUUCAAGGCAGGCCUACGCCUGAAUACAUUAGCAUGGAAUAAUGGAAGAGGACCUCGGUCCUAUUUUGUUGGUUUCCAGGGCCGAAGUAAUGAUUAAGAGGGACAGUUGGGGGCGUUCGUAUUUAAUUGUCAGAGGUGAAAUUCUCGGAUUUAUGAAAGACGAACAACUGCGAAAGCAUUUGCCAAGGAUGUUUUCAUUAA